CCAUCCCUCAAGCCCGGCUUGGGUGUUGGGCCGUCGUCCCCUGGGGGACGGGCCCGAAAGGCAGUGGCGGCGCCGGGUUCGGUCCUGGAGCGUAUGGGGCUUUAUUACUCCGCUCUGCAGGAUCGACCGGGGCCAGCCUCCCUGGUCUUCCCCCUCUUAGG
rnacentral:misc_RNA from 1 species